AGUCCAUGAUGUGGACAUGUUCGUAACAAAUCUCUAAAUCUUUCUCAUGCCUCAUAUAAUGAUUCACCCUUUAAUUGGCUAAAACUAGUGAUAUCCAUUUUUAACUU